UACGUAGGGUGCAAGCGUUGUCCGGAAUUAUUGGGCGUAAAGCGUCCGCAGGUGGCACUUCAAGUCUGCUGUCAAAGACCGGGGCUUAACCCUGGAAAGGCAGUGGAAACUGAAGCGCUAGAGUGUAGCAGGGGUAGAGGGAAUUCCCGGUGUAGCGGUGAAAUGCGUAGAGAUCGGGAAGAACAUCGGUGGCGAAAGCGCUCUACUGGGCCAUAACUGACACUCAGGGACGAAAGCUAGGGGAGCGAAUGGG
rnacentral:rRNA from 1 species